UACGUAGGGGGCAAGCGUUGUCCGGAAUCAUUGGGCGUAAAGAGCGUGUAGGCGGCCCGAUAAGUCCGCUGUGAAAGUCGGGGGCUCAACCCUCGAAAGCCGGUGGAUACUGUCGGGCUAGAGUACGGAAGAGGCGAGUGGAAUUCCUGGUGUAGCGGUGAAAUGCGCAGAUAUCAGGAGGAACACCCAUUGCGAAGGCAGCUCGCUGGGACGUUACUGACGCUGAGACGCGAAAGCGUGGGGAGCAAACAGG
rnacentral:rRNA from 1 species